rnacentral:rRNA from 1 species
UACGUAGGGUCCGAGCGUUGUCCGGAAUUAUUGGGCGUAAAGAGCGUGUAGGCGGCCAGGUAGGUCGGCUGUGAAAACUCGAGGCUCAACCUCGAGAUGUCGGCCGAAACCAUCUGGCUAGAGUCCGGAAGAGGAGAGUGGAAUUCCCGGUGUAGCGGUGAAAUGCGCAGAUAUCGGGAGGAACACCAAUGGCGAAGGCAGCUCGCUGGGACGGUACUGACGCUGAGACGCGAAAGCGUGGGGAGCAAACAGG